rnacentral:rRNA from 1 species
GGACUACUGGGGUAUCUAAUCCUGUUUGCUACCCACGCUUUCGUGUCUCAGCGUCAGAAGAUGUCCAGUAAGCUGUCUACACCACAGGUGUUCCUCCUGAUAUCUACGCAUUUCACCGCUACACCAGGAAUUCCGCUUACCUCUCCAUCCCUCGAGCACUCCAGUUUCCGCCGCACCCUCCCAGUUAAGCCGGGAGAUUUCACAACAGACUUAGAGCACCGCCUACACACUCUUUACGCCCAGUAAUUCCGAACAACGCUCGCUGCCUACGUAUUACCGCGGCUGCUGGCAC